rnacentral:rRNA from 1 species
UACGGGGGGGGCAAGCGUUGUUCGGAAUUACUGGGCGUAAAGGGCUCGUAGGCGGCCAACUAAGUCGGAUGUGAAAUCCCCAGGCUUAACCUGGGAACUGCAUCCGAUACUGGAUGGCUUGAAUCCGGGAGAGGGAUGCGGAAUUCCAGGUGUAGCGGUGAAAUGCGCAGAUAUCAGGAGGAACACCGGUGGCGAAGGCGGGUCUCUGGGCCGAUG